rnacentral:rRNA from 1 species
CAGUAGCCGCGGGAAUACGAAGGGGGCUAGCGUUGUUCGGAAUCACUGGGCGUAAAGCGCACGUAGGCGGAUUUUUAAGUCAGGGGUGAAAUCCCGAGGCUCAACCUCGGAACUGCCUUUGAUACUGGAAAUCUUGAGUCCGGGAGAGGUGAGUGGAACUGCGAGUGUAGAGGUGAAAUUCGUAGAUAUUCGCAAGAACACCAGUGGCGAAGGCGGCUCACUGGCCCGGAACUGACGCUGAGGUGCGAAAGCGUGGGGAGCAAACAGGAUUAGAUACCCCUGUAGUCCCUGUCUCUUAUAC